AAUUUUCCGUCUCUUUCUAUGCACGCAACGCGAGAACAGAGCCGGAAUCGCCCAAAUCACAGCCCGAAAAAUCGCGGAAAGAAGGAAAAAGAGACCAUCUGGCAACACCGCUUUCAAAAAAUUUUGAAAAUCUAUAGUAAUCGUCUCUUGUACAACCAAAUUAUUACCAAAGAAUUACCAAAAACUAUAUAUCGACUCCAGAAAACAGGGACAUCGAAUGUGUAAUUAAAUUUCGCGCAGUUAAUAGAGGUGGGUAUGUCCAUAGGGUAACAAGAGGUGGGCUACGUUAGAAAGAGGCAAAGAGUGUCUGUUUUUUAGAUAGGUUGUCACACUUUUGUAAUUCCUGAUCUCAGAAUCUCUGAAUGAAUACUAAAAAUUUGCCAUUAAAAACAAUGUUUCCAGCUUCUGGAUUUUUUAAAAUGGUACUAGACAAAUCAUUUUUAGAAGAGCACAGUUAUGACUGAAAACAAAAAAUUCUAUUAAAUCAUUCUAAUAGACUCCAAACAACAUCAUGGUAUAUGUCUAAUUUAAAUUUACCACACGUCAUAGAGGUGGGUACGUACGGCAUAGAAGUGGGUACGUACGGUAUAGAGGUGGGUACGUACGGCAUACAGGUGGGUACGUACGGCAUAGAGAUGGGUACGUACACCUUAGAGAUGGGCUUCACUAGAAAGAGACAGGGAGUGUCGAAACGAAAUAUUAUCAUCUCAGAAUGUCUUUUCUUAAGGAAUUUAAAAAAAAGGAAGGAUAAAAAAAUUUGGCAUUAAAAACCAUCUGAAAACAAACUAACCAUCUAAAUAAGCCAAAAUUUGAACUAAGCUCCUAAAAGUUUGGGAGGAGAGAUAGUGACCAAAUGCUGGAGUUUGAGGUAGUUUUUUAUUUGGAGUCCGCCCCUGGCGUCCAGUGGCUCCCAGUCCCUCGGCACGCAUCUCGGCGAGGAGUUAGUUUUAGAGCGUCGAUGGCCUUGGUCAGGGUGCGAUCGCGUCGAAAAUUCGCAGUAGGCCGUGUAAACAUCGUGUAAAUCCAGGCAUUGUGAUUUGUCGCCGACCUGGCACAAUAGUGGAAAUUGGCCGGUGUCGGGCGAUCUCGUGUCACUUCGCUUCUGUUCGGUGCACGUUCAAUUACUCCGCCUAAUUAUCAGCUAAACAGCAAACGUACGCUACCCGCUGGCGCUCUCGCCCAUCUCUAACGUGGCACCCGUCAUUGUUUACCUCUUUAUCUAAAGCACAUGCUGCGACGGUUAACACCACGUGUACGAGCUAAAGGUGGGACGACUCGUAAUCAUGCAUUAAUAACAUUUUACGAGGCGAGGUUUCACCUAAAUGUCAAUCUUCGCGACCCGUUUCGACGCUUUUCACGCAACUUCGGAGAUUCGAGCCCCGAUGGAGGCUAUCGGGAUUGCAUUGUAAAUCGCUACUUUCCCCUUUUUCUUUUGUAUAAUGGAUCGACACUCCCUCGUUCCUACCCUACUUUAUAUACACCAGAUGUCAACCUGAGAAAAAAUAAAACUAAUGCUCGAUA